AUGGAUCCAAUAGUCAACCAGGGGUGGACCUCAUCCGAGGUAGAGGAGGCAUGCUCACUCAUUGCUAGGCUCAACACCAACAAAAUCAUGUAUGACGAUAACGAUGACAAGAACAAGAAGCACAACUACAUCGUGAAUUCUCUCCAUGCAUUGUUCCCUUCAAAGACCAUGAAACAGGUAACAAAUCUUUAUAUUGAUAUCGCCGUGGAAAUGCAUAUGAGCCAACGGAGGGAGGGGACCCAUGUUACUAGUGGUAGCCCGCAAAACAUUUUCACCUUUUGUGACCCUGUCAACGGUAACUAUGAGCUACCGAUGGAGGAGAAUGGUGCUAGCAGCACACACGGUAUCUACACCAUGGGUGACCAUGCGAAUGAAAACUUCGGUAAUACGGGGAUAACGGUGACGGGUGAGGCACCGCUGAUGGCAGACAAUAACAAGAUGAAGAUGUUGGAGAACAAUAUUUCCAUAGACCAACCAGUUGUUGCCCCACAUCAAUGGGGUUUUUGGACCGACGAGGAACACAGUGGAUUUUCAUUUCGUUGCGCACUGGAGGAUACUAGAAUCAGGAAGACGGAGGAGGCUCCGAUGAUGGUAGACAAGAACAAGAUGGGGGUCUUGGAGAACAAUACUUCCUUUGAUCGACCAGCUGUUGCCGCACAUCAACGAAAGUUUUGGACCAAAGAGGAACACAAGUCAUUUCUUUAUGGGCUGGAAGUCUAUGGCCGUGGCGACUGGAAAAACAUAUCCAAGCACUUCGUCACCACUAAGACCCUGUCCAAGUUUCAAGCCAUGCACAAAACAAAUAAUAGUUCUGCCCCUGGGCAAACCCUUUCUUUCACCAGCCUCAACAAUGACCCAAGCUUUAGGUUGCAGGCUCCGACGAGCUCGUUCACAGUCAUGAACAACCUAGCUCAGUGCUCCCCUUCCAUAUAUAAUCAACAAGUGGGCCAGCAGCCAAUGUGGCGUGAGCAGCAGAUGAUGGGUUCUACUGCACCUGUAAUGGGCGGGGUAGGAAACUAUGUGCCUGAUGGCCAACAAGGGUCAGCUUAUUUUUAUCUUGGCAAUGUAUGA
rnacentral:rRNA from 1 species